rnacentral:tRNA from 1 species
UGGGUUGUGGCUCAGUGGUAGAGCACUCACCAGGCACAUGUGAGGCACUGGGUUCCAUCCUCAGCACCAUAU